rnacentral:tRNA from 3 species
GGAAGGCAUUCGUGCCCGGCGGCACGGCCGGGCUUCAAACCCGGUUGGGGGCGUCAGACGUUCCCAGGUAGGUUCGACUCCUGCUGCCUUCCGCCA